UCAUCAUCAUCCGGAUGAUGACUGGAUCUUAGUCGAAAGCUAGAAUAUUAAAAUGUUUAUUUUCGGAGUUCGAAAAUAAACAUUUUAAUAUUCUAGCUUUCGACUAAGAUUCAGUCAUCAUCAUCCGGA